CAUAUAAAAUAUUUGAUCCAGAAAAACGAUUAUUUCGCGAAGAAACUAAAAUCGCUAAACACGAAAGACAGCUAACUGAGGUCCGUCAACACUUGGCUUCUUACAUUAUCAGUCCUGAACGAUAAGCCUCACCUAAGUAUAACCUGUAACCCGCAUGAGAGCAGAUGUUGACAAUACUAAAGCCAAUCUUUGACAAGAGAAACUUGAGAAGAAUUCGUUUGGAAGAAAUGGCGGAGAGAAUUAAAGACACGCUCAAAUUACAGGGUAUAUGUGAAAAGAUAUCGGUAUAUGAACUGUAGGCCUAUAACACUACAUGAUGGCUGACAGAAAAGUUCACUGCUGCUGUGGAAGACACGUCCUGCUUUUACAAAGUCCAGUUAUAGUGAUGAAGGCAACACCACGACCAUGUUAUUGUGAUGAAGGCAACACCACGACCAUGUUAUAGUGAUGAAGGCAACACCACGACCCUAUUAUAGUGAUGAAGGCAACACCACGACCCUUUUAUAGUGAUGAAGGCAACACCACGACCAUGUUAUACUGAUGAAGGCAAAACCACGACCAUGCUGUAGUGAUGAAGGCAGCACCACGACCAUACUAUAGUGAUGAAGGCAACACCACGACCAUGUUAUAGUGAUGAAGGCAACACCACGACCGUGUGAUAUGCCGACGAAGCCAACACCACGACCAUGUUAUAUAUUGAUGAAGGCAACACCACGACCAUGUUAUAGUGAUGAAGGCAACACCACGACCAUGUUACAUAGUGAUGAAGGCAACACCACGACCCUAUUAUAGUCAUGAAGGCAACACCACGACCCUUUUAUAGUGAUGAAGGCAACACCACGACCAUGUUAUAGUGGUGAAGACAACACCACGACCAUGUUAUAUGGUGAUGAAGGCAACACCACAACUUUGUUAUAUAGUGAUGAAGGCAACACCACGACCAUGCUAUAGUGAUGAAAGCAACAAUCACGACCAUGUUAUAUUGAUAAAGGUAACACCACGACCAUGUUAUAGUGAUGAAGGCAACACCACGACCAUGUUAUAUAUUGAUGAAGGCAACACCACGACCAUAUUAUAGUGAUGAAGGCAACAUCACGACCAUGUUAUAGGGUGAUGAAGGCAACACCACGACCAUGUUAUAUAGUGAUGAAGGCAACACUACGACCAUGUCAUAGUGAUAAAGGCAACACCACGACCAUGUUACAUAGUGAUGAAGGCAACACCACGACCAUGAACAAACAAGAAAACAUGGUCGGCACUUAGUUUGACGGCGAACCAUUGAACAACGGAGACGCGCGAGUUGUGGAAGAUUGUGCUGAUCUGCAAGACUUUGGGUGCAGGGAUGAAGGUGUAUACAAAGUCAAGCUGCUGUGCCUCUGUGGAGGCAUGAAACAGGAACCUUUGACUCCGUAGGCUGAGCCUCUACAAAAUCGGCAUAUAUGGUUGUAGACGUAAUGCAUAACGUCAAACUCUGACACCCAAGUUUUCAUCAAUUGUUGACACAACACGCCAACUCGAACACAUCCUAAUAACAAAUGUAAAUAAACGAAAGAUAUUUACUGAUAUCUACAUUUAUUUAUUUGAUUAUACUGUUUAAAAUGAUUUUAUUUCCGAAGGAAGAUUAGAACUUCGCUUCCUACAACCA